CUUUAAAUAACAAUAUCAUCAGGAAAAAUGAAUUCAAAUCGUGAAUGGAUGUAUAGAAGGUUAACAGAUGGUCUACCAAAUAAAGAAUUUAAGAUGGGUAUCCUAGAAUUUCUUAAUUUUGCUUGGAAUCAUGUGGAAGGUAGGGAUGGUGAUAAUAUAAGGUGUCCAUAUAAUAGGAGGAGAUGUCGAAACCAGAACUUCGAAGACAUGUUUAUAGUUGAGAAACACAUAUUUAAACACAGUUUCGUACCAGGCUAUUAUGUUUGGACCAUGCAUGGGGAAGCAGAAGUUAUGGCAAAUGGGGACCAGCCAAAGGUGAGGGAUCAAAUUAUGAAUGAUUCAUCAGGAAACACUGGUGCUGGUGCAUUUGACGAGCCUUCUACUGAAUAUCAUAGAAUGGUCCAUGAUGCUGCUGGUCCCUCAUUUAAUCCCAAUGAUAUGGAAGAAGCACCAAACCUAAUGCCCAAUAAUUUUAUAGUUUGUUGAGUUCUGCAAAUGAAGCAGUAUGGCAUGGUUGUGAAAGUCAUUCUAAGCUGUCAGCUGUUGCGUGUAUGUUGCACAUAAAGUCAGAACAUCAGCUCUCCGAAAGAUGUUUUGAUGACAUGUGUCAAUUAUUGAUGCCAAGGGAUAACGUUAUGACACAAAAUUUCUACCAAACAAAGAAGCUAGUUCAAGGUCUAAACAUGCCUGUUCAAAAGAUUCAUAGUUGUAACAACGGGUGUAUGAUUUAUUCGGUUGAAGAAAGUGAGUUGACUUAUUGUAAGUUCUGUAAUCAACCACGAUAUAAGCCAACGACACAUCCUUCUGCUAAUCAGAAAUCUCUUGUUCCUUACAAACAGAUGUAUUAGUUCCCCAUCACUGAUAGUCUACAAUGAUUGUAUGCAUCUAAAGCCACUGCAGAGCAUAUGAGAUGGCACGCUGAGCAUGCAACUGAGGAAGGUGUGAUGCAUCAUUGUUCAGACUCAAAGUGUGGUUACCACAGCCACAACAACAGCCACAGUCACAGCCACAGCCAUAACAACCGCUACAGUCAUAGCCACAGCAGCAGCCACAGCAGCAGCAAUUGCCACAACUCCCACCACCACAGUUAACAAUAGCAACUAACUCAGGCCCAUUCGGUCCUACACCAGCCACAAGGACACCAUUAGGAGGUACUAGAUCCUCAACUGCCUACACUACAACUAAUGGUAAU